AUCAUCUUCCAGGCAGUCAGACUCCUCAUUGAGGGCCUCGUCUUCCUCGGACUGAGGUGCCUCCUCUACAAACUCGUCCUCCUCCGACCGUGUGCGUAGGUCCGGCUGCGCCUCCCAAUCUCAGCUGUCGUGGGUCGAGACUCACCUGCUCAAGAUCCGCUGCAGUGAAACUUACCCUUGUGAUCCCUACUAAUGUUCUGCUGCCCUGACAAAUGACAGCACACUAAACCAUCACUUCGACCCGACAGAGCAGGACAGUUUCUCUUUUUACGGACAAAGAAAGGAGGAUUUUUGUGCAUGAAAAUCCCGAUAUGCCAAGAAUUGUUUCUGACAUACUGUAAGUGUAACAUAGUUGAAAUGGUUCAGAUUAAAUUCUGGGUUUCAUAGUUGUCCUGUGGUGAGGGCUUUUUGGCGCCCCCUACUGGUUGCCUAUAAAAGGAGGAGAAACUGCAAAUUCCACACAGUCUGUUCAGCGCUCUACUGUGGUAGGUCAUCAACUCCAGUUCUUUUCUGAACAGUAGUGGUGGUUGUGCACUGAGACUAAUGUGGAGUUUUGUUGCAGUACCCAGAACUGGUGGACCAGUAGGGAGGCUCACUGUGCUGUUUGUUAUUAACCAGUCAUUACAGGUAAUUAUGUUACGUUAAAUGUCAGAAAUUUAUGUUGUCCGUUAUGUUUGUCAGUUUUUUUUCAGUUAAGUUUGUCAGUUUAUUUAUUAUGUUGUCGGUUUGUCUGUCAGUUUGUUUGUUCCCUGUUUCAGUUAGAGGUUUGUUUAUUAGUUAAAUUUGACUGCUGUCUAUGUUUAUUUUUCAGAUUUUUAUUUAUUCAAAAGAGAAAGAUUGAAUGAAUUUCAUUUGAAAGUUGUGCUAUCAAUCACUAUACGAUCACCUGUUACAAAAAUGUGUUGUUGGGCCCGAUUGUAGUGAUUAUUUGUAGGACACAGUCUGUUCAGCACUCUGCUGUGUACCCAGAACUGGUGGACCAGUAGGGAGGCUCACUGUGCUUUUUGUUGUUGACACUCAUUACAGAAAUUCAACCAACUAGUCUCCGCUGUGUGCUGUAUGUGGGGGAAGAAGUCACAUAAACUGACUAAGAAGAAUGUGCAAGAGGCCAAUUGAAUGACUCGUUGAUCAAAAGUGGAACUUUGUUUAAUAAAAGUUAAGAUACGAAAUGCUAA